UCCGGCUUUUGACCGGCGGUCUCCUUAGAGUGCCCCCUUGCGGGAUGGCAACUAAGGACAAGGGUUGCGCUCGUUGCGGGACUUAACCUAACACCUCACGACACGAGCUGACGACAGCCAUGCAGCACCUGUCUCCGGUCCAGCCGAACUGAAGGACUCCAUCUCUGGUGUCCGCGACCGGGAUGUCAGAGGCUGGUAAGGUUCUGCGCGUUGCUUCGAAUUGAACCACAUGCUCCACCGCUUGUGCGGGCCCCCGUCAAUUCCUUUGAGUUUUAAUCUUGCGACCGUACUCCCCAGGCGGGAUGCUUAAUGCGUUAGCUGCGCCACUGAAGGGUAAACCCACCAACGGCUAGCAUCCAUCGUUUACGGCGUGGACUAC
rnacentral:misc_RNA from 1 species